AAGUCGUAACAAGGUUUCCGUAGGUGAACCUGCGGAAGGAUCAUUACACGUAUUAGGGUGCUCCGGCGCUCUUUACACACCCACCCUUUGCCUAUGUGUACCUUCAUAGCUUCCUCGGCGGGCCCGCCCGCCGCCAGGAACCCACGAAACCCCUUGCAUCCUACACGAAAACUUCUGAUUACAAACUAAAUUAUCACAACUUUCAACAAUGGAUCUCUUGGUUCUG
rnacentral:misc_RNA from 1 species